rnacentral:rRNA from 1 species
GUGGGGAAUCUUGCGCAAUGGGCGAAAGCCUGACGCAGCCAUGCCGCGUGAAUGAUGAAGGUAUUAGGAUUGUAAAAUUCUUUCACCGGGGACGAUAAUGACGGUACCCGGAGAAGAAGCCCCGGCUAACUUCGUGCCAGCAGCCGCGGUAAUACGAAGGGGGCUAGCGUUGCUCGGAAUUACUGGGCGUAAAGGGCGCGUAGGCGGACAGCUUAGUCAGAGGUGAAAGCCCAGGGCUCAACCUUGGAAUUGCCUUUGAUACUGGCUGUCUUGAGUACGGGAGAGGUGAGUGGAACUCCGAGUGUAGAGAUGAAAUUCGUAGAUAUUCGGAAGAACACCAGUGGCGAAGGCGACUCACUGGCCCGUUACUGACGCUGAGGCGCGAAAGCGUGGGGAGCAAACAGGAUUAGAUACCCUUGUAGUCC